UAGGGAAUCUUCGGCAAUGGGGGCAACCCUGACCGAGCAACGCCGCGUGAGUGAAGAAGGUUUUCGGAUCGUAAAGCUCUGUUGUAAGAGAAGAACGUGUGUGAGAGUGGAAAGCUCACACAGUGACGGUAACUUACCAGAAAGGGACGGCUAACUACGUGCCAC
rnacentral:rRNA from 1 species